GGGUUGUGAGGUUAAGCGACUAAGCGUACACGGUGGAUGCCCUGGCAGUCAGAGGCGAUGAAGGACGUGCUAAUCUGCGAUAAGCGUCGGUAAGGUGAUAUGAACCGUUAUAACCGGCGAUUUCCGAAUGGGGAAACCCAGUGUGUUUCGACACACUAUCAUUAACUGAAUCCAUAGGUUAAUGAGGCGAACCGGGGGAACUGAAACAUCUAAGUACCCCGAGGAAAAGAAAUCAACCGAGAUUCCCCCAGUAGCGGCGAGCGAACGGGGAGCAGCCCAGAGCCUGAAUCAGUGUGUGUGUUAGUGGAAGCGUCUGGAAAGGCGCGCGAUACAGGGUGACAGCCCCGUACACAAAAAUGCACAUGCUGUGAGCUCGAUGAGUAGGGCGGGACACGUGGUAUCCUGUCUGAAUAUGGGGGGACCAUCCUCCAAGGCUAAAUACUCCUGACUGACCGAUAGUGAACCAGUACCGUGAGGGAAAGGCGAAAAGAACCCCGGCGAGGGGAGUGAAAAAGAACCUGAAACCGUGUACGUACAAGCAGUGGGAGCACGCUUAGGCGUGUGACUGCGUACCUUUUGUAUAAUGGGUCAGCGACUUAUAUUCUGUAGCAAGGUUAACCGAAUAGGGGAGCCGAAGGGAAACCGAGUCUUAACUGGGCGUUAAGUUGCAGGGUAUAGACCCGAAACCCGGUGAUUCAGCCAUGGGCAGGUUGAAGGUUGGGUAACACUAACUGGAGGACCGAACCGACUAAUGUUGAAAAAUUAGCGGAUGACUUGUGGCUGGGGGUGAAAGGCCAAUCAAACCGGGAGAUAGCUGGUUCUCCCCGAAAGCUAUUUAGGUAGCGCCUCGUGAAUUCAUCUCCGGGGGUAGAGCACUGUUUCGGCAAGGGGGUCAUCCCGACUUACCAACCCGAUGCAAACUGCGAAUACCGGAGAAUGUUAUCACGGGAGACACACGGCGGGUGCUAACGUCCGUCGUGAAGAGGGAAACAACCCAGACCGCCAGCUAAGGUCCCAAAGUCAUGGUUAAGUGGGAAACGAUGUGGGAAGGCCCAGACAGCCAGGAUGUUGGCUUAGAAGCAGCCAUCAUUUAAAGAAAGCGUAAUAGCUCACUGGUCGAGUCGGCCUGCGCGGAAGAUGUAACGGGGCUAAACCAUGCACCGAAGCUGCGGCAGCGACGCUUAUGCGUUGUUGGGUAGGGGAGCGUUCUGUAAGCCUGCGAAGGUGUGCUGUGAGGCAUGCUGGAGGUAUCAGAAGUGCGAAUGCUGACAUAAGUAACGAUAAAGCGGGUGAAAAGCCCGCUCGCCGGAAGACCAAGGGUUCCUGUCCAACGUUAAUCGGGGCAGGGUGAGUCGACCCCUAAGGCGAGGCCGAAAGGCGUAGUCGAUGGGAAACAGGUUAAUAUUCCUGUACUUGGUGUUACUGCGAAGGGGGGACGGAGAAGGCUAUGUUGGCCGGGCGACGGUUGUCCCGGUUUAAGCGUGUAGGCUGGUUUUCCAGGCAAAUCCGGAAAAUCAAGGCUGAGGCGUGAUGACGAGGCACUACGGUGCUGAAGCAACAAAUGCCCUGCUUCCGGAAAAGCCUCUAAGCAUCAGGUAACAUCAAAUCGUACCCCAAACCGACACAGGUGGUCAGGUAGAGAAUACCAAGGCGCUUGAGAGAACUCGGGUGAAGGAACUAGGCAAAAUGGUGCCGUAACUUCGGGAGAAGGCACGCUGAUAUGUAGGUGAAGUCCCUCGCGGAUGGAGCUGAAAUCAGUCGAAGAUACCAGCUGGCUGCAACUGUUUAUUAAAAACACAGCACUGUGCAAACACGAAAGUGGACGUAUACGGUGUGACGCCUGCCCGGUGCCGGAAGGUUAAUUGAUGGGGUUAGCCGCAAGGCGAAGCUCUUGAUCGAAGCCCCGGUAAACGGCGGCCGUAACUAUAACGGUCCUAAGGUAGCGAAAUUCCUUGUCGGGUAAGUUCCGACCUGCACGAAUGGCGUAAUGAUGGCCAGGCUGUCUCCACCCGAGACUCAGUGAAAUUGAACUCGCUGUGAAGAUGCAGUGUACCCGCGGCAAGACGGAAAGACCCCGUGAACCUUUACUAUAGCUUGACACUGAACAUUGAGCCUUGAUGUGUAGGAUAGGUGGGAGGCUUGGAAGUGUGGACGCCAGUCUGCAUGGAGCCGACCUUGAAAUACCACCCUUUAAUGUUUGAUGUUCUAACGUUGACCCGUAAUCCGGGUUGCGGACAGUGUCUGGUGGGUAGUUUGACUGGGGCGGUCUCCUCCUAAAGAGUAACGGAGGAGCACGAAGGUUGGCUAAUCCUGGUCGGACAUCAGGAGGUUAGUGCAAUGGCAUAAGCCAGCUUGACUGCGAGCGUGACGGCGCGAGCAGGUGCGAAAGCAGGUCAUAGUGAUCCGGUGGUUCUGAAUGGAAGGGCCAUCGCUCAACGGAUAAAAGGUACUCCGGGGAUAACAGGCUGAUACCGCCCAAGAGUUCAUAUCGACGGCGGUGUUUGGCACCUCGAUGUCGGCUCAUCACAUCCUGGGGCUGAAGUAGGUCCCAAGGGUAUGGCUGUUCGCCAUUUAAAGUGGUACGCGAGCUGGGUUUAGAACGUCGUGAGACAGUUCGGUCCCUAUCUGCCGUGGGCGCUGGAGAACUGAGGGGGGCUGCUCCUAGUACGAGAGGACCGGAGUGGACGCAUCACUGGUGUUCGGGUUGUCAUGCCAAUGGCACUGCCCGGUAGCUAAAUGCGGAAGAGAUAAGUGCUGAAAGCAUCUAAGCACGAAACUUGCCCCGAGAUGAGUUCUCCCUGACUCCUUGAGAGUCCUGAAGGAACGUUGAAGACGACGACGUUGAUAGGCCGGGUGUGUAAGCGCAGCGAUGCGUUGAGCUAACCGGUACUAAUGAACCGUGAGGCUUAACCUUACAACGCCGAAG
rnacentral:rRNA from 1 species